AGCAGCCGCGGUAAUUCCAGCUCCAAUAGCGUAUAUUAAAGUUGUUGCAGUUAAAAAGCUCGUAGUUGAAUUUCGGGGUCAGUAGAUUGGUCGUGCCACUGGUAUGUACUGGUCUUACUGGCUCCUCCUUCCUGAUGAACCGUAAUGCCAUUAAUUUGGUGUUGCGGGGAAACUGGACUGUUACUUUGAAAAAAUUAGAGUAGUUUAAAGCAGGCUAACGCUUGAAUACAUUAGCAUGGAAUAAUGAAAUAGGACGUUCGAUCUUAUUUUGUUGGUUUUCUUAGGAUUGACGUAAUGAUUAAUAGGGAUAGUUGGGGGGCAUUAGUAUUCAAUUGUCAGAGGUGAAAUUCUUGGAUUUAUUGAAGACUAACUACUGCGAAAGCAUUUGCCAAGGAUGUUUUCAUUAAUCAAGAACGAAAGUUAGGGGAUCGAAGACGAUCAGAUACCGUC
rnacentral:rRNA from 1 species